rnacentral:rRNA from 1 species
AUUGAACGAUGGCGGCAUGCCUUACACAUGCAAGUCGAACGGUAACGGGCCUUCGGGUGCCGACGAGUGGCGAACGGGUGAGUAAUACAUCGGAACGUGCCCGAUCGUGGGGGAUAACGAGGCGAAAGCUUUGCUAAUACCGCAUACGAUCUACGGAUGAAAGCAGGGGACCGCAAGGCCUUGCGCGGACGGAGCGGCCGAUGGCAGAUUAGGUAGUUGGUGGGAUAAAAGCUUACCAAGCCGACGAUCUGUAGCUGGUCUGAGAGGAUGAUCAGCCACACUGGGACUGAGACACGGCCCAGACUCCUACGGGAGGCAGCAGUGGGGAAUUUUGGACAAUGGGCGCAAGCCUGAUCCAGCCAUGCCGCGUGCAGGAUGAAGGCCUUCGGGUUGUAAACUGCUUUUGUACGGAACGAAAAGCCUUCUUUUAAUACAGGAGGGUCAUGACGGUACCGUAAGAAUAAGCACCGGCUAACUACGUG